GAGUUUCCGCAGAUGAGCCGCGGGAAAGGAGACGAGGGGCGGUGGCCAGGCGGUUGCCCUGACAACGGGGAACCGACCGACUCUUCCCGGUAGGGAGAGGCGAUGGCGGAAUUACUCCUCUAAUGUCAAGGUAUUCUAAUCACAGAAUUACUGGAGCAUCAAGAAGUGCCUGCAUGCUUGGAAGGGCUUCCAGGCAGAUGAACACACCUCAGCACCGGGUGGCAUUUUCCCAGGGUGCAACCCGGAGCGGCUCUGGGUCACACUGACAAGUGCACCCCUCCUGAGCUGAAGUGUUCCUGUUCUCUCCGCAGCCUCUCCAACUCCCCAGGCUGGGUUGGGUGCUCCUCCCUCUCAUCCCACAGCGCUAUGUCUCAUGUCUUCUGGAAAACUUGCCAAUCCCUAGUGACAACAGGGUUAACAAUUUCCAGAGACAGCCCGUACAUAGAAGGAAUGUUUACUGAAAAAAAUGAAGAGGGGUCAGGGCAAGGCGAGGAGCGAGAAGCACCCCCAAGGAAACAGAGAAGACCAGUACAACUGUACCUCUUUGCCAGCUGCACCAUCCGUACCAGGUGGCACGUUCCAGAGCCAUAGCCUCUGUUCUAUUCAUCUCCAGUCUCCUGGGGUGGAAGUGUCCAGCGCAGAGACUGCCACACUGCAAGAUGAAGGGGCUGGACACACGGAAGAGAGAGGCGGAACCCUGCACCCCCUCGACCUCAGCCCUACUGAGUCUCCAAUGGGGCCACGCUUCUGAGUGCACCUCCCCCUGUCAUCUGUAAUGUGAGGGGGAACCAGGCUUGAUAUGGCAUUCCCAAUCCAGGGCCUCUGGACCCCUUGAGAUGCAUAAA
rnacentral:antisense_RNA from 1 species